rnacentral:rRNA from 1 species
UACGGGGGGAGCAAGCGUUGUUCGGAUUUACUGGGCGUAAAGGGCGCGUAGGCGGCGUGACAAGUCACUUGUGAAAUCUCCGGGCUUAACUCGGAACGGUCAAGUGAUACUGUCGUGCUAGAGUACAGAAGGGGCAACUGGAAUUCUCGGUGUAGCGGUGAAAUGCGUAGAUAUCGAGAGGAGCACCUGCGGCGAAGGCGGGUUGCUGGGCUGACACUGACGCUGAAGUGCGAAAGCUAGGGGAGCGAACGGG